GAUGAAGAACGCAGUGAAAUGCGAUAAGUAAUGUGAAUCGCAGAAUUCAGUGAAUCAUCGAAUCUUUGAACGCACAUUGCGCCCCUUGGUAUUCCGAGGGGCAUGCCUGUUCGAGCGUCAUUAUAACCCCUCAAGCUCAGCUUGGUGUUGGGGCCUGCUGCACUGGCAGCCCUUAAAAUCAGUGGCGGCGCCAUCUGGCUCUAAGCGUAGUAAUUCUUCUCGCUAUGGAGUCCUGGUGGAUGCUUGCCAUCAACCCCCAAUUUUUCUAUGGUUGACCUCGGAUCAGGUAGGGAUACCCGCUGAACUUAAGCAUAUCAAUAAGCGGAGGA
rnacentral:misc_RNA from 1 species